CCUGCCCAAUGAGGAUUUAAAUGGCCGCAGUAUUUUGACUGUGCAAAGGUAGCAUAAUUAUUAGUUUUUUAAUUGAAAGCUUGUAUGAAGGGUUGGACGAGAUAAAAUCUGUCUUUAUUUAAAUUAAAGUAGAAUUUAACUUUUAAGUCAAAAGGCUUAAAUGUUAGUAAAAGACGAGAAGACCCUAUAGAUCUUUAUUUAAUUAAUACUUUAAUAAUUUAGGAUUAAUUUAAUUUAAAGUUUUAAUUAAAUUUUAUUGGGGUAAUAUAAAGAUUAAAUAAAUUCUUUUUAUUUAUUACAUUGAUUUAUGAAUAAAUGAUCCAGUAUUAUUGAUUAUAAGAUUAAGUUACCUUAGGGAUAACAGCGUAAUUUUUUUGGAGAGCUCAUAUCGAUAAAAAAGUUUGCGACCUCGAUGUUGGAUUAAAAAUUAGCUUGGGUGCAGAAGCUCAAGAAUUUGGUCUGUUCGACCAUUAAAUUUUUACAUGAUCUGAGUUCAGACCGGCGUAAGCCAGGUCGGUUUCUAUCUUUAUUUAAUUAAAAUAUUUUAGUACGAAAGGACCAAAUAUUUAAUAUAUUUAUAUUUAUUUUUUGAAUAAUAUUAUUACUUUGGCAGAUUAGUGCAAUGAAUUUAGAAUUCAUGAAUGUAAUUUUAUUACAAGUAAUACUUGUAUUUAGGAGAUUUAUUAUUAAUAGUUUUGUGUAUACUAAUUCUCGUUAUUUGUGUUUUGGUGGGGGUAGCUUUUUUAACAUUA
rnacentral:rRNA from 1 species